GUGGGGAAUAUUGGACAAUGGGCGCAAGCCUGAUCCAGCCAUGCCGCGUGAGUGAUGAAGGCCCUAGGGUUGUAAAGCUCUUUCACCGGAGAAGAUAAUGACGGUAUCCGGAGAAGAAGCCCCGGCUAACUUCGUGCCAGCAGCCGCGGUAAUACGAAGGGGGCUAGCGUUGUUCGGAAUUACUGGGCGUAAAGCGCACGUAGGCGGACAUUUAAGUCAGGGGUGAAAUCCCGGGGCUCAACCCCGGAACUGCCUUUGAUACUGGGUGUCUGGAGUAUGGAAGAGGUAAGUGGAAUUCCGAGUGUAGAGGUGAAAUUCGUAGAUAUUCGGAGGAACACCAGUGGCGAAGGCGGCUUACUGGUCCAUUACUGACGCUGAGGUGCGAAAGCGUGGGGAGCAAACAGGAUUAGAAACCCUGGUAGUCC
rnacentral:rRNA from 1 species